rnacentral:rRNA from 1 species
UACGUAGGGGGCAAGCGUUGUCCGGAAUCAUUGGGCGUAAAGAGCGUGUAGGCGGCUCGAUAAGUCUGCUGUGAAAGUCCAGGGCUCAACCCUGGAAGGCCGGUGGAAACUGUCGGGCUAGAGUCCGGAAGAGGCGAGUGGAAUUCCCGGUGUAGCGGUGAAAUGCGUAGAUAUCAAGUGGAACACCAGUGGCGAAGGCGAGUCCCUGGACAACUCCUGACACUGAGGCACGAAAGCUAGGGGAGCAAACAGG